GAUGAACGCUAGCUACAGGCUUAACACAUGCAAGUCGCGGGGCAGCAUGGGGGUUGCUUGCAAUCCCCGAUGGCGACCGGCGCACGGGUGAGUAACGCGUAUCCAACCUGCCCUUCACCACGGGAUAACCCGGCGAAAGUCGGACUAAUACCGUAUGUUGUCCAUUGACGGCAUCCGAUUUGGACGAAAGGUUUGGCGGUGAAGGAUGGGGAUGCGUCCGAUUAGCUGGACGGCGGGGUGACGGCCCACCGUGGCGACGAUCGGUAGGGGUUCUGAGAGGAAGGUCCCCCACACUGGAACUGAGACACGGUCCGGACUGCUACGGGAGGCAGCAGUGAGGAAGAUUGGGCAAUGGGCGUAAGCCUGAACCAGCCAAGUAGCGUGCAGGAUGACGGCCCUAUGGGUCGUAAACUGCUUUUAUGCGGGGAUAAAGUGGCCCACGUGUGGGUUUUUGCAGGUACCGCAUGAAUAAGGACCGGCUAAUUCCGUG
rnacentral:rRNA from 1 species